rnacentral:rRNA from 1 species
AGACAGCAGCAGCCGCGGGAAAACAGAGGGUGCGAGCGUUAAUCGGAUUUACUGGGCGUAAAGCGUGCGUAGGCGGCUAAUUGAGUCGGAUGUGAAAUCCCCGAGCUUAACUUGGGAAUUGCAUUCGAUACUGGUUAGCUAGAGUGUGGGAGAGGAUGGUAGAAUUCCAGGUGUAGCGGUGAAAUGCGUAGAGAUCUGGAGGAAUACCGAUGGCGAAGGCAGCCAUCUGGCCUAACACUGACGCUGAGGUACGAAAGCAUGGGGAGCAAACAGGAUUAGAUACCCCCGUAGUCCCUGUCUCUUAUAC